AAAGUUGUCGAGCGUCUUCUAAUAUUAGAUCCUAAUUUCUAAUUAGAAUCUAAUUAGAAAUUAGAUUAGAACGGAAAACAUUCUAAUGUCAGGAACAACCCUAAUAAUACUCGAUGACAUUCGGCCAUUUCAGAAUGGAUUUAUAUAUGUGGGUAAAGGCACUGUUAACCUGCUUUCCUAACGGGCCCUCAACCUCGUCACUUUUGAUGCUCAGUCGUGCGUCGCCCGGGGCUUAGGUUAUGGUCGCUGUCGUGCGUUGCGCGUUUCCGUCGCAUCCCUAAUACCCCUUUGCUCCAGUGCCAGCCACUGUAGCCCCUAUAUAUGUCCGAGAUCACGCGAGGCGCGACCACCCUCAUCCACUCCCACCUUUCAACACCCGGCUCGGUUUCGCAACACCAUCAGCAGUAACAGCAGGAGCAGCAGGCCACUAAUGAGAUUUCCAUUUCCUAUAGCCAGCACUGCAAGCGGAAUAUUCCCGAUGUAAAUGGCUCAGCAGGCCCAACAGGCAUCCAAGCGACUCAAGACAGGUCGGCACGCGACCCGUGGGUCACAUCAAAGCCCGAAGGGACGCAGCACGGGGGCACAUCGCCUCUCAUUCCCAUUCCUUCAUCCAUCCAACCACAACCAGCACCACCAGGACCCGCACACGCACACACGAAAAGAUGAACAAACAUACGAACAAACAAGCGGGCGCGCUUACAUCGUAUGCUCUUCCCGAUCCCCGCGUUGCGGACUCUGUUCACCUCUGGCCGUUUCCCUGCCCCCCAAAGCACAUAAAAGACCUCCCCAUUCCCUUGAGCUCGUCCCAUUUUUCAUCCCUCCCCAUCCCCUCGUACGUCCUUCCGUACGUCUGUUUUCAUUGAAAAAGAAAAUUUCCGCGUCCAUAGUCCUCCGUGCAAUGAGACCAUAGCCCGCCAUUACAGCCAUGCGGGGCGGGACCGGAACAUUUCGCAGGAUUCCAGUCGCUUUCCUGUCCGGCAGUUAAUAUGUGUGUGGGUGUGCGUGUGCUCGCCGAGUGGAAAAAAAAGGAUAAAUGUGGAUGGAAAGGAAGGAGGGUUUGGCGCCGGAGGGCCAGUAGAACACCGCCGUUCAGUUCACAAUUCCCGGCCACCAGCAGUCACAGCCCCAACACUUCGGAACAGAACGCAAAACGAAGCCAACGAUAAUCCCCCGCCCUGUGUGCAUGCAGGCGUGUUUAUGUGUGUGUAUGUGUGUGUUAUGUGAUGUGUGUUUGUGAUGUGUGUUUGUGAUGUGUGUUUGUGCGCGCGCGCGUGUGUGUGUGUGCCCAUGCGGACCAUGAACGUGUGUUGUGUCUAUACGCGCUUUCAAACGCCAACAGAGUCGCAACCCAACUGAAGAAAUGAUUAAUCCGAAGACCUGAAUGACGAUUCAUUAAACUUCGUUUCGGGGUCUUGAUUUUCGAUUGCAGCUAUACUCAUUUGCAGGCAAAUCCUCCCUCUUGGCAAUGACGGUGAUGGUGGUGAUGGUGAUAGUGGUGAUGCUGGUGGUGCUGACAAUCACGACAGCAUGACCCUGUCAAAAAGCCGAGUAUAAUGUCGUCAAGUACGCCAGCCGCGUGCUAAACAAAACAAGGUAUAGGAAGGAGGAGGGAGGCGUUAGAAAACGUGCGUUGUCUCCGUCUGGGGAAAUAUCUCCGGGUCGGUGGGAUCUGGGAGCUGCCGCAGGUGGAGAGGAGGGAUGUGGAGGGAUGUGGUACCUGGGCGGCGCAUGUGGAUCCCCUCUGUCCCAUCCGCUACUCCCCCACCCACCCACCCGCGUACUAACACACACCUUCUCCUCUUCCCACCACCACUAACCAGCACACACCGGGCCGCCGUACCAGCCCCUAGCAGCUUAUCGGCUCUGGCAGGUAGCGAGGUUGGUCGCUAACCGACCUUUUUCCCUUCUCGCCCGCUGGUAUUGCCGCUACCGUCCCGGACUCCUAGGUACAUAACCCCUCGGCGUCUCGCCAUGGCCAUUAUCAGCCUCCGCCUCCGCCUCCGCCCGAGCACCAGCCGCCCCUCGGCAAUGGCAGAGGCGGCUCCUUUUUAGUUCCAUAACCACCGCGACGACCACAACUACAGCAUCUACCUUUCUCCUCUUUGAUUUCCCAACUUCCCCCUCCGUCUCCCCCAUCUUCACUUCCAUUUACCCCACCCCCACGCACACACACAACACCACGUCAGCGCCUUCUCCACCUCCUCCUCCGCCUUCUCCACCUCCUCCUCCAUACCUAAUUUGCCCACACACGUAUACGUUUCGCAGCAGAGCGCCUGUAGCAAGUUGCAGCGGCAGCACCGGCACCAUAGAGUUCGCAUGUAUGUACGUAUGUACGUCGUUUAACAAACCCAUAAUCCCAUCUCCGUAUACUCAUGAAGCCACAUUACCCGCCACAGCCAUAUACAAGUGCCCUGCGACUGAAUUAAGCCAUUGCCCUCAGUGCAUUGUCAGCUCCCCCCAACUU
rnacentral:lncRNA from 1 species